rnacentral:rRNA from 1 species
AUACGGAGGCUGCAAGCGUUAAUCGGAAUUACUGGGCGUAAAGCGCGCGUAGGCGGAUAUUUAAGUCUCAUGUGAAAGCCCUGGGCUCAACCUGGGAACUGCAUGGGAUACUGGGUAUCUAGAAUACAGUAGAGGGUAGUGGAAUUUCAGGUGUAGCGGUGAAAUGCGUAGAGAUCUGAAGGAACAUCAGUGGCGAAGGCGACUACCUGGACUGAUAUUGACGCUGAGGUGCGAAAGCGUGGGGAGCAAACAGGAUUAGAAACCCCAGUAGUCC